AGAGUUUGAUCAUGGCUCAGGACGAACGCUGGCGGCGUGCUUAACACAUGCAAGUCGAACGGAAAGGCCCUGCUUGCAGGGUGCUCGAGUGGCGAACGGGUGAGUAACACGUGGGUGAUCUGCCCUGCACUUCGGGAUAAGCUUGGGAAACUGGGUCUAAUACCGGAUAGGACCACGCGCUGCAUGGUGUGUGGUGGAAAGUUUUUGCGGUGUGGGAUGGGCCCGCGGCCUAUCAGCUUGUUGGUGGGGUGAUGGCCUACCAAGGCGACGACGGGUAGCCGGCCUGAGAGGGUGUCCGGCCACACUGGGACUGAGAUACGGCCCAGACUCCUACGGGAGGCAGCAGUGGGGAAUAUUGCACAAUGGGCGCAAGCCUGAUGCAGCGACGCCGCGUGGGGGAUGACGGCCUUCGGGUUGUAAACCUCUUUCACCAUUGACGAAGGCCUGGGUUUUCUCGGGUUGACGGUAGGUGGAGAAGAAGCACCGGCCAACUACGUGCCAGCAGCCGCGGUAAUACGUAGGGUGCGAGCGUUGUCCGGAAUUACUGGGCGUAAAGAGCUCGUAGGUGGUUUGUCGCGUUGUUCGUGAAAUUCCCUGGCUUAACUGGGGGCGUGCGGGCGAUACGGGCAGACUGGAGUACUGCAGGGGAGACUGGAAUUCCUGGUGUAGCGGUGGAAUGCGCAGAUAUCAGGAGGAACACCGGUGGCGAAGGCGGGUCUCUGGGCAGUAACUGACGCUGAGGAGCGAAAGCGUGGGGAGCGAACAGGAUUAGAUACCCCGGUAGUCC
rnacentral:rRNA from 1 species